rnacentral:rRNA from 1 species
UCAAGCUACUAAGGGCGUACGGUGGAUGCCUAGGCGCUAAGAGUCGAAGAAGGGCGCGGUUAACAGCGAAAUGCCACGGGGAGCCGUAAGCAGGCCUCGAUCCGUGGAUACCCGAAUGGGGCAACCCAGCCGGAGUCAUAUCCGGUUAUCUUUAGCUGAAUCCAUAGGCUAAAGAGGACAACCCGGGGAACUGAAACAUCUAAGUACCCGGAGGAAGAGAAAGAAUUAUCGAUUCCCUCAGUAGCGGCGAGCGAACGGGGAAGAGCCCAAACCGAUCUCGAUGUUCGUGGUUCGAAGUUCGUGGUUCGAGUGCAAGUAAAUCUUGAAAGCCUGAGGAAGCAAGAAAAAGUUUUCUAAAGACCAAAUAGAUGCACAUGCAAACGAACAUCGAAUAUCGAAUAUCGAACAUCGAGAUCGGGGUUGUAGGACCCUCUAUUAGGCCGGAGCUUCUAAUUGAACAGGACUGGAAAGUCCGGGCAAAGAAGGUAACACCCCUGUAAGUGAAAGGGGCGAAGGCUGUGAGGGUAUCCUGAGUACCGCGGGACACGAGAAACCCCGUGGGAAGCUGGGAGGACCACCUCCCAAGGCUAAAUACUCCUUAGCGACCGAUAGCGAACGAGUACCGUGAGGGAAAGGUGAAAAGCACCCCGGGAGGGGAGUGAAAAAGAACCUGAAACUGUACGCUUACAAGCAGUCAGAGCUUGUGGUUCGUGGUUCGAGAUUCGUGGUUCGAUGAAUGUGUUUCUAAAAAGCGAUAAACCGAGAUACGACGGAGUCGUAUCUUAGGUCAAGACCGCAAAGGAAUACAAAGAAUCGAACGACGUGCAUCGAACCACGAACUACGAGUGAUGGCGUGCCUUUUGUAGAAUGAACCGGCGAGUUACGGUAUGGAGCGAGGUUAAGGCGAAAAGCCGGAGCCGGAGCGAAAGCGAGUCUGAAGAGGGCGAAUAGUUCCAUGCUGUAGACCCGAAACCGUGUGAUCUACCCAUGGACAGGGUGAAGGUGGGGUAAAACCCACUGAAGGCCCGAACUCACUGUCGUUGAAAAGGCAGGGGAUGAUCUGUGGGUAGGGGUGAAAUGCCAAUCGAACACGGAGAUAGCUGGUUCUCCCCGAAAUAGCUUUAGGGCUAGCCUCAAUCGAUGACUGACGGCGGUAGAGCACUGAAUAGGCUAGGGGCCUUACCCGGUUACCGAACCUUAUCAAACUCCGAAUGCCGUUAGGUUUAGAUUGGGAGUCAGACUGUGGGGGAUAAGCUUCAUAGUCGAAAGGGAAACAGCCCAGACCAUCAGCUAAGGUCCCUAAGUAUACGCUUAGUGGAAAAGGAUGUGGAAUUGCUCAGACAACCAGGAUGUUGGCUCAGAAGCAGCCACCAUUUAAAGAGUGCGUAAUAGCUCACUGGUCGAGUGGUUCUGCGCCGAAAAUGUAACGGGGCUCAAGCGUAUCACCGAAGCUAUGGCUAGGAACGGAAUUAUUAAGUCUUUAGAGAGAGGGCCCGAAAAAGAGCCCUACAUCAGGAAUUUUGCAUCUGCUAAGAAGGCAAGUUUCAAUAAGAGCAAAAUUCCCAAAUGUUCUUCAGGGGCUGAAGCGAGCAGGAUAAGCGCAAAGCUAAGGGUUUAAUAAUUCCGUUCCUGGGGUAGGGGAGCAUUCCAAGGUCAGCGAAGUUCUUCCGGAAGGAAGGGUGGAGAGCUUGGAAGAGAGAAUGCCGGUAUGAGUAUGCGAAAAGGAGGGUGAGAAUCCCUCCCGCCGAAAAUCCAAGGUUUCCUGGGGAAGGCUCGUCCGCCCAGGGUAAGUCGGGACCUAAGCCGAGGCUGAAAAGCGUAGGUGAUGGACAACUGGUUGAGAGUCCAGUACCACCGGUAAGCGAUUGAGCGAUGGGGUGACACAGAAGGACAGGUCCAGCGUGCCGUUGGUUGAGCACGUCCAAGCCUCGAGGAAGCAGGGCAGGCAAAUCCGCCCUGCGAGAUUCUGAGGGGUGAUGGGGAGCGAAAACAAGUAGCGAAGGGACUGAGUUCAGGCUGUCAAGAAAAGCCUCUAGUGAGCGAAUCGGUGCCCGUACCGUAAACCGACACAGGUGGAUAAGGAGAGAAUCCUAAGGCGCGCGAGAAAACCCUCGUUAAGGAACUCGGCAAAAUGACCCCGUAACUUCGGGAGAAGGGGUACUCCUAGGAAUAGGAGUCGCAGAGAAUUGGUCCAGGCGACUGUUUAACAAAAACACAGGUCCCUGCAAAUCCGCAAGGAGAAGUAUAGGGGCUGACGCCUGCCCGGUGCUGGAAGGUUAAGAGGAGAGGUUAGGGGAGACCCGAAGCUUUGAAUUGAAGCCCCAGUAAACGGCGGCCGUAACUAUAACGGUCCUAAGGUAGCGAAAUUCCUUGUCAGGUAAGUUCUGACCCGCACGAAAGGCGUAACGAUCUGGACACUGUCUCAACGAGGGACUCGGCGAAAUUGUAAUACCCGUGAAGAUGCGGGUUACCUGCGACAGGACAGAAAGACCCCAUGGAGCUUUACUGCAGCUUGACAUUGGAUUUUGGUAGAGAAUGUACAGGAUAGGUGGGAGACUAAGAAGCCAGGGCGCCAGCCUUGGUGGAGUCGCCGGUGGGAUACCACUCUUUUUGUACUGAAAUUCUAACUUAGUCCCCUGAAGCGGGGAUGAGGACCGUGUCAGGUGGGCAGUUUGACUGGGGCGGUCGCCUCCCAAAGUGUAACGGAGGCGCCCAAAGGUUCCCUCAGCGCGGAUGGAAAUCGCGCGAAGAGUGUAAAGGCAGAAGGGAGCUUGACUGCGACACAAACAAGUGGAGCAGGGACGAAAGUCGGGCUUAGUGAUCCGGUGGUUCCGAGUGGAAGGGCCAUCGCUCAACGGAUAAAAGCUACCCUGGGGAUAACAGGCUUAUCUCCCCCAAGAGUCCAUAUCGACGGGGAGGUUUGGCACCUCGAUGUCGGCUCAUCGCAUCCUGGGGCUGUAGUAGGUCCCAAGGGUUGGGCUGUUCGCCCAUUAAAGCGGUACGUGAGCUGGGUUCAGAACGUCGUGAGACAGUUCGGUCCCUAUCCGUCGCAGGCGCAGGAAAUUUGAGAGGAUCUGUCCCUAGUACGAGAGGACCGGGAUGGACGGAUCCCUGGUGUACCAGUUGUCUCGCCAGAGGCACCGCUGGGUAGCUAUAUCCGGAGCGGAUAAGCGCUGAAAGCAUCUAAGCGCGAAACCGACCUCAAGAUGAGAUUUCCCACGAGCGUAAGCUCGGUAAGACCCCUGAAAGAUGAACAGGUUGAUAGGCCCGAUGUGGAAGCGCCGUGAGGUGUGAAGCUGACGGGUACUAAUCGGUCGAGGGCUUGACCAA